rnacentral:rRNA from 1 species
AUUGAACGCUGGCGGCAGGCCUAACACAUGCAAGUCGAGCGGAGCGGCAGACGCGUGCGUAAUGCUUAGGAAUCUGCAUGGUACUGGUGGAUAACGUCCGCUACUGGGCGCUAAUGCCGAAUACUAUCUGCUUAGCCUAGGUCGGAUUAGCUUGUUGGUGGGGUAAAGGCAUACUAAGGCGACGACCCGUAACUGGUCUUUGAGGAUGAGCAGUCACACUGGAACGGAGACACGGUCCAGACGCCUACGGGAGGCAGCAGUGGGGAAUAUUGGACAAUGGGCGAAAGCCUGAUCCAGCCAUGCCGCGUGUGUGAAGAAGGUCUUCGGAUUGUAAAGCACUUUAAGUUGGGAGGCGUUACCAACAGAAUAAGCACCGGCUAACUUCGUGCCAGCAGCCGCGGUAAUUC